rnacentral:rRNA from 1 species
GGGUUGUGAGGUUAAGCGACUAAGCGUACACGGUGGAUGCCCUGGCAGUCAGAGGCGAUGAAGGACGUGCUAAUCUGCGAUAAGCGUCGGUAAGGUGAUAUGAACCGUUAUAACCGGCGAUUUCCGAAUGGGGAAACCCAGUGUGAUUCGUCACACUAUCAUUAACUGAAUCCAUAGGUUAAUGAGGCGAACCGGGGGAACUGAAACAUCUAAGUACCCCGAGGAAAAGAAAUCAACCGAGAUUCCCCCAGUAGCGGCGAGCGAACGGGGAGCAGCCCAGAGCCUGAAUCAGUGUGUGUGUUAGUGGAAGCGUCUGGAAAGGCGCGCGAUACAGGGUGACAGCCCCGUACACAAAAAUGCACAUACUGUGAGCUCGAUGAGUAGGGCGGGACACGUGGUAUCCUGUCUGAAUAUGGGGGGACCAUCCUCCAAGGCUAAAUACUCCUGACUGACCGAUAGUGAACCAGUACCGUGAGGGAAAGGCGAAAAGAACCCCGGCGAGGGGAGUGAAAAAGAACCUGAAACCGUGUACGUACAAGCAGUGGGAGCACAGAGCAAUCUGUGUGACUGCGUACCUUUUGUAUAAUGGGUCAGCGACUUAUAUUCUGUAGCAAGGUUAACCGAAUAGGGGAGCCGAAGGGAAACCGAGUCUUAACUGGGCGUUAAGUUGCAGGGUAUAGACCCGAAACCCGGUGAUCUAGCCAUGGGCAGGUUGAAGGUUGGGUAACACUAACUGGAGGACCGAACCGACUAAUGUUGAAAAAUUAGCGGAUGACUUGUGGCUGGGGGUGAAAGGCCAAUCAAACCGGGAGAUAGCUGGUUCUCCCCGAAAGCUAUUUAGGUAGCGCCUCGUGAAUUCAUCUCCGGGGGUAGAGCACUGUUUCGGCAAGGGGGUCAUCCCGACUUACCAACCCGAUGCAAACUGCGAAUACCGGAGAAUGUUAUCACGGGAGACACACGGCGGGUGCUAACGUCCGUCGUGAAGAGGGAAACAACCCAGACCGCCAGCUAAGGUCCCAAAGUCAUGGUUAAGUGGGAAACGAUGUGGGAAGGCCCAGACAGCCAGGAUGUUGGCUUAGAAGCAGCCAUCAUUUAAAGAAAGCGUAAUAGCUCACUGGUCGAGUCGGCCUGCGCGGAAGAUGUAACGGGGCUAAACCAUGCACCGAAGCUGCGGCAGCGACGCUUAUGCGUUGUUGGGUAGGGGAGCGUUCUGUAAGCCUGCGAAGGUGUGCUGUGAGGCAUGCUGGAGGUAUCAGAAGUGCGAAUGCUGACAUAAGUAACGAUAAAGCGGGUGAAAAGCCCGCUCGCCGGAAGACCAAGGGUUCCUGUCCAACGUUAAUCGGGGCAGGGUGAGUCGACCCCUAAGGCGAGGCCGAAAGGCGUAGUCGAUGGGAAACAGGUUAAUAUUCCUGUACUUGGUGUUACUGCGAAGGGGGACGGAGAAGGCUAUGUUGGCCGGGCGACGGUUGUCCCGGUUUAAGCGUGUAGGCUGGUUUUCCAGGCAAAUCCGGAAAAUCAAGGCUGAGGCGUGAUGACGAGGCACUACGGUGCUGAAGCAACAAAUGCCCUGCUUCCAGGAAAAGCCUCUAAGCAUCAGGUAACAUCAAAUCGUACCCCAAACCGACACAGGUGGUCAGGUAGAGAAUACCAAGGCGCUUGAGAGAACUCGGGUGAAGGAACUAGGCAAAAUGGUGCCGUAACUUCGGGAGAAGGCACGCUGAUAUGUAGGUGAAGUCCCUCGCGGAUGGAGCUGAAAUCAGUCGAAGAUACCAGCUGGCUGCAACUGUUUAUUAAAAACACAGCACUGUGCAAACACGAAAGUGGACGUAUACGGUGUGACGCCUGCCCGGUGCCGGAAGGUUAAUUGAUGGGGUUAGCGCAAGCGAAGCUCUUGAUCGAAGCCCCGGUAAACGGCGGCCGUAACUAUAACGGUCCUAAGGUAGCGAAAUUCCUUGUCGGGUAAGUUCCGACCUGCACGAAUGGCGUAAUGAUGGCCAGGCUGUCUCCACCCGAGACUCAGUGAAAUUGAACUCGCUGUGAAGAUGCAGUGUACCCGCGGCAAGACGGAAAGACCCCGUGAACCUUUACUAUAGCUUGACACUGAACAUUGAGCCUUGAUGUGUAGGAUAGGUGGGAGGCUUUGAAGUGUGGACGCCAGUCUGCAUGGAGCCGACCUUGAAAUACCACCCUUUAAUGUUUGAUGUUCUAACGUUGACCCGUAAUCCGGGUUGCGGACAGUGUCUGGUGGGUAGUUUGACUGGGGCGGUCUCCUCCUAAAGAGUAACGGAGGAGCACGAAGGUUGGCUAAUCCUGGUCGGACAUCAGGAGGUUAGUGCAAUGGCAUAAGCCAGCUUGACUGCGAGCGUGACGGCGCGAGCAGGUGCGAAAGCAGGUCAUAGUGAUCCGGUGGUUCUGAAUGGAAGGGCCAUCGCUCAACGGAUAAAAGGUACUCCGGGGAUAACAGGCUGAUACCGCCCAAGAGUUCAUAUCGACGGCGGUGUUUGGCACCUCGAUGUCGGCUCAUCACAUCCUGGGGCUGAAGUAGGUCCCAAGGGUAUGGCUGUUCGCCAUUUAAAGUGGUACGCGAGCUGGGUUUAGAACGUCGUGAGACAGUUCGGUCCCUAUCUGCCGUGGGCGCUGGAGAACUGAGGGGGGCUGCUCCUAGUACGAGAGGACCGGAGUGGACGCAUCACUGGUGUUCGGGUUGUCAUGCCAAUGGCACUGCCCGGUAGCUAAAUGCGGAAGAGAUAAGUGCUGAAAGCAUCUAAGCACGAAACUUGCCCCGAGAUGAGUUCUCCCUGACUCCUUGAGAGUCCUGAAGGAACGUUGAAGACGACGACGUUGAUAGGCCGGAUGUGUAAGCGCAGCGAUGCGUUGAGCUAACCGGUACUAAUGAACCGUGAGGCUUAACCUUACAACGCCGAAGGUGUUU